rnacentral:lncRNA from 1 species
CACGAUUUGUCCUACCUAGUUUUAUUGCGUGGUUACCCUUUCUGAAAGCGUGAAUAAAGUUUUCGACAUCUCAUUUGUCUCUUGUAUUUUCUUCUGUCUUUGUUCAUGCCUUUUUAUUUAACCAACCUCAGAGGAACUGGUAAGAAAUGGAACACACGUGCAAAUUAGCGCAUGAAUCAGUGUGACAUCACAAUUCACUCACAAUGCACUCAUGAACCCAUAGAAUUGUAAUCAUACUGCAAAACUUGUCUCCUGAGCAGAAGUGAACUCACACAAUGUUGCCAUGGGGACAGUUGACAGCCAGUGGGGACAGUUUUUACAUCAUAAACACCAUAUGUGACGUCAAACACCUGUCUGCAUAAAUAGCCUGUUUUGGCACAUUUAAUUUCCCUAGGUGGCUGAAGGUACGUUGGUAACCAUGCACUUUCAGCCCAAUUUGGAAGAUGAUCUUCCUUUUGCCUUACAGCUAGAACAUGCUUCAGUAGGCUCUGACCAUCACAGAGAAGACCCUUCACCUCUCAACAGGGAAGACCCUUCACUGUCACCUCUCAACAGGGAAGACCCUUCACUCUCACCUCUCAACAGGGAAGACCCUUCACUGUCACCUCUCAUCUCAACGUCCACUUGUCUUACUCUCCGGAGGUAAGUGAUACUUCAUGUCUUAUCAGAUGAGAAGGUGGUCUCUUCAUCUGUCUGUCUCAGCUGCAGACCUGGG